UUCACUACUGAGGAGGGCAUGGACCAUGAGCUGAUGGAAGACAGUGGAACUACUCUUCACGCCGGAAGGGAGCGGGCAAGCACGAAGGAUGUUCCAGGCCAGACCAACAGAUCCAAGCGGCCCACGAAACCCAACCCAAGAUACUCCGGAUCGGCGUGGACGAAGUGAACGUUAUGUAGUGGUUGAUGCGUCGGGAAGGGGAUUUUAUCCAGUUGGAUCACGACGGAACGGCUCUGUCUUUAUCCUUGUCUUCUUCCUCCAGCCUAUCUCAAUUCUUCUCUGAGUUUGUAAGGAAUCUCGAAUUCGUGUGGUAAUCAGAGUGAAUACGAGAGGAACCUUAACAUAGUCCAAACUGAGGGGGUUGAAAGAAAGGCAGACAAAGAAAGGGGCUUAAGAUCUUAGUUAUUCAAUAGUGUAAGCCUGAAGCGCGCCAUGCCCAUCCUUGUGUCUAUGCUGCUCACAGGUGACGGGGAAGCCGGGGCCUCCUCUCCUCUCCAUCCCUGGUCUCUCCUCCCUCUCUCCUUCGUUUUCCCGUCAUCACUUUUUCUGUCUCGCUCGGUGGGGAACAGCAGGUGCUACCGGCGGUGAGGAACGGCGAGUGCAGCCGCCUCCCUUCCUCUCUCUCCGUCUAGAUCCGCAUCCCUCUUGCCCACAACACAUCUCCUCUUCCUCCCGACCCCAUCUCUUCCUCCCGAGCCCCGCUAGGGUUCCCAGCUGCCGCUCCAUCCCUCUUCCAUAGUAGGGAAUUACCGCGAGUUUCCACUGCAUCGCGCGUCCGACGAAGCCUCCAGCAGCGACGAUGAUGACCACCACUUCCUAGAUGCUCCAACAGGUUCCAGCUGGUGACCGACCUGGCUUCUCAUCCGUUGCAUUCUAUUCUCCAUGAGCCGGUGACCGCUCCGCUGCGCGUCCGACGAAGCCUCCCUGACACUCUGGCUUCUAUUCUACUAUGUGGUUGCCUACAAUUGACGUGUUCAGAUUCUAACUCAGAUUUGAUAGGCCCUGUUUUUCUCACACGGGUGAUCAAUAGGACUAGGACAUGCAUACACCGAUAUUAUAGUGUCUGUUGUGUUCUGUCCACUGAUUUUAUCUUACAUGGAUAUACAUAUGUGCAGAGCUGCUGCGUACAAACUACAAGCGUUCAUUAGGCCAACCAAGGUGGUGCUUUGGGUCUUGCAGACAAUUGAUUUGAUGAAUAAAUGGGGAUAUAAUCAAGAUAGAGCUUCAGAUUUGCUCUAAUUUUUCCUAACUGCUGGUAAAUUUUCUUCUUUGUCGUAUAUAAUCUACUGAAAAAAUAUUUCAGUUGUUGUAUGUACUAUUUAUGUGAUUUACAGUACAUCAUAUAUAACUUGAUCAUAGGACUGCUACACACUACUGUUAAGGAACAUAUGAACUUGCCUAUUAGAAGCUUAACUUUUUUUAACCAACUCUCUCAUGAUGAUGCCAUCCAAAAAAAGUUAUGUGUAGCAUUGAUUGUUAUACUGCAAGAUAUAUUGUCAAUAUUUACUUGGUAAACACAUGGGAUGUUCAGUCAUACACAUACCCAGUUAAAUUUCAGAAAUCUGCCUGCGGGGUUCUUAGUGUUACAAUUUUAUUCAAUAACAUGAUCAAAUGGAACAUUUAGAACUUAAGGCCUGAGAUUAACUUUAGUCUACUGCAGCAUGCAAAGAAAACAUUCUUUUGAUUCCAAAGAUAAGUAUUUUUAUUUAUUCUACUGCUAUCUAUUUUUUUGUGUCUGCCCAUUCAGUCCUGAUACAACUAAGUUUCUUAAUUAAUCUAUUAUAUUUGUUGGCAUAUGUUCAGUCAUGGGUCCAUGAUCUGUACACAUGACUUUCAAGAAAUUUAAUUUAACCAUGAUGGAUUGAGCUAUAUAUAUGCUGAUUGGUAGUUCUGACACAGACUUGCUUGAUUUGGUUCUAGAUUGCUGUUGGAUUUUAGGUGGAGAACAUAAGCAUUUCUUUUGUUUCUGAUGAAACAAAAUCGUGUUGAAUGUUUGAUGUUUGAAUGCUCAAACUGUUAUUUCUAAUUUUGUUCUAAUGGAUUUCCCCCCUAAUUCUCUUGAUCUGUGAAUCAUGGGAUUGUGCGAGCAUGUUGCUUCUAAUAUGCUUCCUAGAUGAUUAGGAAAAAAUGGAAUCAAGGAAAAAAAUGCUUAUUCUGGAUGGAUGUUGAUUGGUGUCUGAUACGAGAUGCAUUUAUGAUUUAUUUUGUGGGAAAAGAACAAAAAAAUGUAUGGAUGUUGUGAUUGGUGGAAAUUAAUAUAUGGUGUAUUUAUAUUUCUUUAUGUGGAAAAUAGAUGAUCAUUGCCUGAUUAAUGAUGUGUUCAUUGGUAUGGUAAUAGCAAGGAUGAUCACCAAUGUCAGUGGAAUUUUGGAGACGCUGUUGUUUUAUCGGGAAGUAUCCUUCCAGCAUAUGACAACCUCAGAGGAGUUACGAUAUAUUAUAUGUACAUACCAUUUCAAUUAGAAGUUCAGUUUGUUUCAGCAACGUAUGAUGUAUGAGGUCCAUGAUCGGAACUGUCCAAUCUCAAUCACCUAUACGACAUUAGAUGUUGUUGCAUGUUUACUACGGCAGUGAUGGACUGAUGCUGUUCGGGAUGUGGGAGUGGAGGCGGCGGAGUAAAUGAAGGGGUGGAGGGGGAAGGCGGCCACGAGUGGUCUAUUGCGCUGUCAACAAGCGAGCCAGACCUGCCUGCCUCGCCAAUGACGGCAUGUCCACCUACAAUCAGAGAGCAGGGUCGACGAUCUACCAGACAUACUUUUUUUUUCAUCCCAACCAGGAUCCAUGUUGCAACCGUUCUUGUGCAUUAGACCACUCCUUUUGGAAGGGUACAUAAGGUAGUCUUCCCAACUUGGAUCAAGUAACUUAUUCUCAUACAUGAUGCAUGAUGGGUCAAGUAAGUUAUUGUAUUUUGUUUGCUUAUCCAUUUAUUUCUGUUGUAGGUUUUAUGUAUAUAAAUAUGCUAAUUGAUUAAUGAUGCAUGAUGCUUCAGAUGACUGAUAAUGGUAUGUUGAUUAACAAUUUA